rnacentral:rRNA from 1 species
AUGAACGCUAGCUACAGGCUUAACACAUGCAAGUCGAGGGGCAGCAUGGUCUUAGCUUGCUAAGGCCGAUGGCGACCGGCGCACGGGUGAGUAACGCGUAUCCAACCUGCCUUACACUCUUGGACAGCCUUCUGAAAGGGAGAUUAAUACAAGAUGUUAUCAUGAGUAAGCAUUUUCGCAUGAUUAAAGGUUUACCGGUGUAAGAUGGGGAUGCGUUCCAUUAGAUGGUAGGCGGGGUAACGGCCCACCUAGUCUUCGAUGGAUAGGGGUUCUGAGAGGAAGGUCCCCCACAUUGGAACUGAGACACGGUCCAAACUCCUACGGGAGGCAGCAGUGAGGAAUAUUGGUCAAUGGACGAGAGUCUGAACCAGCCAAGUAGCGUGAAGGAUGAAGGUUCUAUGGAUUGUAAACUUCUUUUAUACGGGAAUAAACGAAUCCACGCGUGGAUUUUUGCAUGUACCGUAUGAAUAAGGAUCGGCUAACUCCGUGCCAGCAGCCGCGGUAAUACGGAGGAUCCGAGCGUUAUCCGGAUUUAUUGGGUUUAAAGGGAGCGUAGAUGGGUUGUUAAGUCAGUUGUGAAAGUUUGCGGCUCAACCGUAAAAUUGCAAUUGAUACUGGCAGUCUUGAGUAGAGUUGAGGUAGGCGGAAUUCGUGGUGUAGCGGUGAAAUGCUUAGAUAUCACGAAGAACUCCGAUUGCGAAGGCAGCUUACUAACCUGUAACUGACAUUGAUGCUCGAAAGUGUGGGUAUCAAACAGGAUUAGAUACCCUGGUAGUCCACACGGUAAACGAUGAAUACUCGCUGUAGGCGAUAUACAGUCUGCGGCCAAGCGAAAGCAUUAAGUAUUCCACCUGGGGAGUACGCCGGCAACGGUGAAACUCAAAGGAAUUGACGGGGGCCCGCACAAGCGGAGGAACAUGUGGUUUAAUUCGAUGAUACGCGAGGAACCUUACCCGGGCUUAAAUUGCAACCGAAUAUGGCGGAAACGCUAUAGCUAGCAAUAGCGGUUGUGAAGGUGCUGCAUGGUUGUCGUCAGCUCGUGCCGUGAGGUGUCGGCUUAAGUGCCAUAACGAGCGCAACCCUUGCCGAUAGUUACUAACAGGUUAUGCUGAGGACUCUGUCGGGACUGCCAUCGUAAGAUGUGAGGAAGGUGGGGAUGACGUCAAAUCAGCACGGCCCUUACGUCCGGGGCUACACACGUGUUACAAUGGGGGGUACAGAGGGCUGCUACCACGCAAGUGGAUGCCAAUCCCAAAAACCUCUCUCAGUUCGGAUUGAAGUCUGCAACCCGACUUCAUGAAGCUGGAUUCGCUAGUAAUCGCGCAUCAGCCACGGCGCGGUGAAUACGUUCCCGGGCCUUGUACACACCGCCCGUCACACCAUGGGAGCGGGUCUCGCCAGAAGUAGGUAGCCUAACCGCAAGGAGGGCGCUUACCACGGCGGGGUUCGUGACUGGGGUG